rnacentral:lncRNA from 1 species
AGGAAGUGGACCCCUUCUCUCUUCCUCCAGAGUCACCAUGUGAUCCCAGGAUGCCAAUGGAAGGCGUCCAAUAAGAUCAAUAGCUCUGGAAGCCAUCUGAAAUGUAAUUUGCUACACCACUUGGACAUUCUGAUUCCAUUGGUAUCAGGUAAGCUCUAAUUAUUUUUUGAAAACAUCUCCAAGAGUUUUAGGGUGGAUCAACUCUAAAUGACUGGUAUUAAUUAGCUAGCUAUUGAAAGUCUGGAAAGAAUAAAUCACAUAACAUGAUAUGGUUCACAAGUCAGCAUUAGUCUUCCACUGGGGGAGAAUUUAACAGCUGUCCUUUGCAAUAUUUGUGAUUUUUCUAGAAAAUAUUACUGUAGAACAACCUUGAAGGGUCAAGUCAUGUAUUAGAAUCAUUGGCUGACAAAAAGCUGUUAUAGCUCAACACUAUCUCUUCCUUGGAGGAGGUGACAGACAAUGGCUAAUUGUACUCCAAAUCAGAAAUUACCACACUGUGUUGCUUUGAAUGAGAGUAGUCCCCAUAGUCUCAUAUUAUAAAUACUUGGUGCCCAGUCAGUAGAGCUGUUUGGGGAAAUAAUUAGAAGGUGUGGCCUUGGAGGAAGAGUGUCAGUGUGGGUGGGCUUAGAGAUUUUAAAAGCCCACACCACUCCAGUUAGCUCUUUCUGGGUCAUUCUCUGCAUCUUGACUGUGGAUUAAAUGUGAGCUUUCAGCUACUACUCCAACAUCAUGCCCGCCUGCAUUCUGCCAUGUUGCCUGGCAUGAUGGUCAUGGACUCACCCCUGAAACUGUAAACUGCAAUAACAAUAACCUCCGUCUUGAAUAGGCUGCCUUGGUCAUGAUGCUUUGUCAUAGCAAUAGAAAAAUAACUAAAACACAUAUCUUAUUUCUAUUUGUGGAAUACAAAUGAGAAAAUCCAAAUUUUUAACACUUCAGCACAAUUGAAGCACUAGGUAAACAUAUUUUAGCAUAACCCUUCUAUUCUUUUCUGUGUCCUUUUGUCUACCACCCAUUCAUCCCUUUCUGUUUCAGACUUUUUCUUAUACCCUAAUUUCCUUCUGCUGAGAUUCUGGAGGAAAAUGAGAAAACUUGGCAGAUAAGAUAAAUGACUCAUUAGUCAGCUUUUCAUCAAUGUAACAAAAUGCUUAAGGUAAUUAACUUAUAAAGAGAAGAAGCUUGCUGGACAUGAUAGUGCAUUUAUAUAAUUCCAAUGCUAUAUAUAAAACAAUAGAAGGAGGUAAUGAAUUCAUCAUGGCUAGAUGGAGUAUACAAGCAUUGGAGAAGUAAGAAGGAUAAAAAAUAUUGCAAAUAUAGUAUUCAUAUAUAAAAUUCUAAAAAUAAUAAAUUAAUCUUCCAGUGAGUUGAAUAACACUGAUUUAUUUUCCUUCUUCCUUUCAUAAUAUGUUAGUAAUGUUACUAAUAUUCUCUAAUAUAAAGCAAAUGUUGAAUUCUUAGAAUAAGGCCAACUUUUUCAUUAAAAGUUAUUACUAGUUUUUGGUUCAUGCUUGGCACUGGAUUUUGUUAGCUGGCCUGUGACUCUUAGGAGAACCUUUAUCACCCUAUGUGAUAUAAUUCCAUUUAACUUACAUGCAUUUAUAUGUCUGUGUUAUAUAAUAUAUAUAAUAUUUAUAAUAUAUAUUUGUGUAUAUAUAUAUAUAGCUUAUAAAAUACUGUUUCCCUGUUAUAUGUUCCAUUGAUUAUGUGCAGUAAAUAGGAUAGCUACUUCUAAUUUUACUAAAAAUAUUAAAAUCCAACUUUUCAUAAGAAAGUGCCACAUUCAGCAGUUCAUAUGUAUUUUCCUCUGCGAUUUGUCUUUGCUUAAAUGUGGGUAGAUAUAUGGGGUAGGGGAGACAGACCCAGACAGACUGAGAUGUUCUCCAAAGAUCUCUGCUCUAUAGGCAUUCUGCUAGGUUUUUCAAAGCACUAUGCUCUGCUGAAGGCACCAAAGGAAUCAAAUAAUCUUUCUAAAGUGCAUGUUUCAUCUAUUGCUGAUCCAGUCUUAGUGUACAAUGAAACCAUAGAGAACAAAGUGACCAAGGUCAAAUUCUUAGUCUGAAAAUAGCUAAUAUUUUGGUGGUUUGGGGGGGGUUUUCUUCACAACAUGCUAUAGAAUGAAAUUAAAAAUUGAAGAGAACUGCUUUGAGACAUUUAUAAGAAGAAAUCCUAAUUUUAGCAGUUCUGAGCAUGCAAACAGCUCAGCAAUGUAAUGUAGUUAUUUGAGUUUCUAUGUUAAUGGAACCACCAAUUGCCAUGGUGCUGUGAUCUGUAAAACCAGGGAAACCAUCUUCCCAUACUGAACCAGCCCUUCCAACUAGACAAGGCUUGAGACACCACCUGAAACCCAAAUCCUUCAGAAGCGAUUAUUCAAGUUUUUUCAAUUAGUUAUUAAUAUCUUUGUGAAAAUAUGACUGUUCCCGGUGAAAAUAUAAAUAUUCCCUCUUCAUUGAGUGAUUAGUAGAAAAAAAUAUGUUUUUAAAUUUCAUAUUUACAAAAUCAUGAAAAUAAAAUUUUGUUAUUCAGACAUUAAAUGAACAUGUUCUUGUCUAUACAUGGACCUCAAAAACUUAAAACAUAGGAGCCAGAGAACAUGAUUGGCAGUCAUACAGUUUGUCUAACCAUUGCUAGGCCAUGCUACUUCAGCUGACACAUUUACUAUAUAAGCAUAAUAAUAAUUAUUAUGUUAUUACAAUAUAUUGUGUAUAUAUAAGAACUUGUCAAUUAAAAUUAUAACUAGACAUUCCCAUUUAUUCAAAGGAGAUUUAGUUUACUAUUGCUAAUGCCCAAUCAUCUGAGACUUUAUCACAGAUUUCAAAGGCUAAAUCUUUAGUGAUUUAAUAUGCUGCUGUGCCUUGAGCAAUGAGUGAGACAUGCCUGAUUUGCUUCAAAGUUAAGUGUGAGUUUCUGUGAGACUAUUUAGCAGGCUGUGGCUUAUUGUGUAAAAUGUCAGGGUUUUUAAGUCUGAUGAGAAGUCAGUCCCUUAGGAUCAAUUAAUUUAAAAUUUAUUAAGCAGAGAAGAAAUCUAUCACUAAGGGGUAUUUUCGAAAAGCACAAAGUGUAUCCAGGAAGGCUGACUCAUACUCAUCUUGGUUAUGCCCUCAUAGAAACUCAAGAGCUCUAAACUAUGCAAUGCUUCAUGGCUCCUGUAGGUAUCUCUGCUAGCUUAGUACGUCACAACUAUUCAUUGCCUGUGUUCUGAUUAGCUUGACCCUAAUGUACUUCUAUUUUGGGGCAUCCACUAUCAUAUUAAGAACCAUGAUAUGGGGGUUAAAAAAAUCACUAUCAUUUUUCCUUAUUUUAUUAAAGAGGUCUCUCAUCGUUUUCCUAUAUAUUUCCCCUAUCCAGAAACGAAAAUAUUUAUGUCACUUUCAGUGGAGUUUGUCUUUCAUCUCUCAGUGGCAUUUCAGGUCACUAAGUGCUAUCCAAUUUAUUUGUAUUCCGGUGCCACUCCAGUGAAGCAUGCCUCUCUGUCAGCUGAGUGUAAGAUGCAGGUGCUCAGCACUUGGAAGCCAUGCCAUGAACAAAUCGACGGUAUCAGCAGCAGCCAGCCAUCCUGUAGACAAUUUCCAAGUAACGACUGGAGAAGAGUUCUCAAAAUUUUUUAGCAGUCCUAACUUCAGUUUUCCCUGGAAAAUCUGAGAUCACUUUCUUGGACUUUGUUAAACUGUCAUAUUUUAUUCCAACUCUCCUUAAUCCUAUUGAAUAUCUAUUUGGUAUUUUAUUUCCAUAAGUAGUUCCUUUAUCACACUGAAAAUAGAGUCUGGUAUAAUUAUGAUUCUUAUAAACAAUUAUCUUUAAUCAUAUUGAUGAUGAAUUUCAAUAAAAUGUUAUUUCU